CCUGAUGCGGAGAUGUUUUCCUCCCCACUCCAGACCUGCUCAGCCAACUCUGCCUGCCCCACCUCCCUGCUGAGCGCUGUGAUUCAUCCUCGAGUAAUUAACCAGCAGCAGCACAGAAAGUACCUGUCUCGGCAGAAGUGUGAAAUCACAUCUACACCUAACGGGAACCGGACUGAAGGCUUCCACUCUGAGUGACGCCCAGGGAGCUGCAAAGUGAUGAAAAGACAGAGUUGCCAAAACUCCCCGAACACGGUCUGGUUUCUGCGCAGCGUCCUUUUGGCUGUACUUUGGGAACUGAAAGUACAAAACCCCAUUUGCUGACUCAGAGUUAGUUAUGGGGGGCGUGGAGGUGGCAGGUUUUUCACUUGCUGGUCUGACCCUUGGAUCCCUGCCUGCAGGGUGCUUUGACCUGCUUGGCUCAUCUCUUGCUCCUCAGCUGAAUUUUCCCUGCUGUGCAUCCCUGGGCUUAUCUCAGGGUAUGAUUUGGUGUCCCUGCACAGGGCAUUUGUGCACACAGGGCCAGGAUCCCGUGUUUGCUGCCCCCCAGCCCUCACUGAGUCCCAGUCCUGCAGUUUAGUCUUAGGAGAGCUGCAUAAUUUACUCUUGCCUGCCUGAUAAUAACUUUGCAGGGACUUUAUAUGCUGAUAACCUCAGCAUGCUACACUCCAUUUGGGUCUUUCACCACCAGCUGCUCUGCAUUAGCCCAUUUUAAUGAACUUUGAUUAUAGACACAGCUCCUCGUUGCUAUUUUAGAGGACAUCUCUGCUUUUCUUGGGCUUCCUAGGAGCUGGGCUUUGGGGCCAUGAGCACAGGGCCUCACUGUUUGGGAUUUGCAUGUUGAGGUGUGGCUCAACCAACACUUUUCUUUCACUUGCUCUUCUGCCUAAGUCCCACAGUGUCUCACAUGGUGCAAAAUGAGAUGGACCCUUGCUGCUCUUGGGGCUGAAGAAGCAGGACGUGAAGAAAAUGCAGCCUCUGAUGUACCUGAGCACAGCAGCAGCCUCUUCCAGAAGGUCAUUACACCUGAACCUGUGCCUUUGGGCAGCCAGGUGACAGGGAGGUGAAAACAAAACAAUCCUGUUCCAGCUGGAGACUCAAGGACAAUCUCUUCAAACUUCAGGCCCAAAGCAUAAACAACGUGAGAAGAGGAGGGUGGGCAAGCGAGCAAGGAGGAUGAAACUUCAUAAUUUGAAGCUCCUUAAGGCAUCAGUUUUGGUGACCACAUGUGAUGAAGCCCUGCUUUCCUGGGGUUGGCUGAACACCUGCCUGCCCACGGGGAGUGGAGG